rnacentral:tRNA from 1 species
GCUCCAUUGGUGGAAUGGUAGACACGCCACACUUAGGAUGUGGUGCCAUAUGGUGUGUAGGUUCGAGUCCUACAUGGGGUA